rnacentral:tRNA from 2 species
GCAUUCUCGAGCACAGAUUCAUCUGCCUUCUAAGCAGACGGUUGAUGGUUUGAAUCCAUCGGGGUGCG